rnacentral:rRNA from 1 species
AUUGAACGCUGGCGGCAGGCCUAACACAUGCAAGUCGAGCGGCAGCGGGAAAGUAGCUUGCUACUUUUGCCGGCGAGCGGCGGUCGGGUGAGUAAUGCCUGGGAAAUUGCCCAGUCGAGGGGGAUAACAGUUGGAAACGACUGCUAAUACCGCAUACGCCCUACGGGGGAAAACAGGGGACCUUCGGGCCUUGCGCGAUUGGAUAUGCCCAGGUGGGAUUAGCUAGUUGGUGAGGUAAUGGCUCACCAAGGCGACGAUCCCUAGCUGGUCUGGGAGGAUGAUCAGCGACGCGGGAACUGAGACACGGUCCAGACUCCUACGGGAGGCAGCAGUGGGGAAUAUUGCACAAUGGGGGAAACCCUGAUGCAGCCAUGCCGCGUGUGUGAAGAAGGCCUUCGGGUUGUAAAGCACUUUCAGCGAGGAGGAAAGGUUGAUGCCUAAUACGUAUCAACUGUGACGUUACUCGCAGAAGAAGCACCGGCUAACUCCGUGCCAGCCGCCGCGGUAAGAC